AAUAUAUAUAUAUAUAUAUUUAUAUACAAAUUUAAGCUUAUAGAUAAACUACUAAAUUAAUAUGUUUUGAAACAAAUGUUAAUUAAAUAAAAUUACAAAAUCACAAUUUGAUACUUUAGUUGAAAAUAUUCAAUUUUAAAUCGAUUAUUUUAAUAUAAAUUAAGAGAUACUAAAAAAAAGUAAUGGAGCUAAACCAUUAGACAACAAUUGCGAUAGUAACGGCAGUUGGUUGUUUAAAACGAACUAAUUGUUAAGCUGAUCAUUUCGACUGCCACAAUUGCUAGAGGUUAAUUAUUAACAAAGCUCAAACAACGAUAGGCUGUAAAUAACAAUAAAAAAAACGAGGCUAGUCGAGGAAUUUGACCUUGUGCAGAUUUUGUUACUGUUAAACAUGAUAUGAAUAUAUAAUGAUAUCAAAAGCUUACGAAAACACGGUGAUCCUAUACGUUGUUUACGCGCCAAAAUCUAAUUUCGAUAAGUCUAUUUCGUGAUAAGAAGUUUUUAUCAGUCGGAGAAUGACAUCCACCACCUGUGUAGAAGAAAUUGACCCGAGGGAACCGGUUUAGCGAUGACAUCAUACACUAGAUGGUAGUCAUUGAGAACGCACCAAAUGUUAGGUGUUAACUGGACAGCUGAUGACGGCGGUGUGUCUACUACGGUAACUAUUCAAAAUCCUAUCAAAAGCAAUAAAGAUAACAAUAUACAAAGAAAACUUACCAAUUUUCAACCAGUAGCGAACGCUAUUAUUUUAGAUAUGAAUAGUGCAGUACGUAAAUUGAUUCGGGAUACGAAAAUUAUUUUUUAACCAUUGUAUAGGAAUAGAUUCUAUAACAUACUACGAUAGUGUGAUAAAUUAGAAUUAUGUAAAAAAAGUUUAUAAAAUAGUUACAGAAACGUAGAUAGCGAACAACACAAAUGUUAGAUCGUUAUAUAGUUUUAUAAUCUUAAUGUAUACACGUAAUACUACGAAGAAUAGAUUUCAUAGAAUUGUGACGGCGUACGAACAAAACGGUACAGUGUACUGGAGAGAGAGUAUUGUUGAGGGAUCGCGGACCAGCGUGGGGUGAGCAAGAAUAUUUGCCACGUUCACUACAGUGCUGCCAUCAGUACAUAUUCGCUAGUCAAACAUUUUGUGUCAUGACACAAUAUCAUAUAGAAAUCGAUAAAGACACAGGUUCAUUCCUUGAAAUAGAACAAUGCAUCUACCGCUUCUCAUACGACCGAUUAAUUUGAAGUUAAAAAAAUGAUAUUAAAAUGAAGAUAAAAAACAAUUUAUAACUGCACAAAAAAUGGGAGAAGAACAAUGAUAAAUUUAGCUACUACUAAGAUUUUUGUCAAUAGCUUAAGGUAUUCGGAAUUUAAAGGCACAUUAAAUAUUCAUUAACUAACUCUGAAUUUGGAAUAAUAUAUUUCAAUUUAUAAAUCUUAUACAUAAAAAUAUGCUUUUAUUAUACUACCUUAAAAUCACAAUACUAAUAUAUGAUAUAUAAUUACAUAUAUUUUUUCAAUUUAAAAAAAUAUAAACAAAUAAAAGCAUUUUCACUUAAAAAUGCAUACUUAUGGUUGAAUUUCGAUGAUUUUAAAGAAUUAAUAAUGUAAAUACCUGAUAAAUACUAUAUAUAUGUUUAUUGUCAGAUAUGUUAAGUGCAUAGCAAUUAAAAAAAAUAUUUUCCUAAUUAGAUCUUAAAAACCAAUCAUUGUACGUAUUAAUCAUAGUUAAACUAUUUUGAACCAUGAUGGAGUUAACAAUUAA